GACGAACGCUGGCGGCGCGCCUAACACAUGCAGGUCGAACGAGCGAGAGAGAGCUUGCUUUCUCGAGCGAGUGGCGAACGGGUGAGUAACGCGUGAGGAACCUGCCUCAAAGAGGGGGACAACAGUUGGAAACGACUGCUAAUACCGCAUAAGCCCACGGCUCGGCAUCGAGCAGGGGGAAAAGGAGCAAUCCGCUUUGAGAUGUCCUCGCGUCCGAUUAGCUAGUUGGUGAGGUAACGGCCCACCAAGGCGACGAUCGGUAGCCGGACUGAGAGGUUGAACGGCCACAUUGGGACUGAGACACGGCCCAGACUCCUACGGGAGGCAGCAGUGGGGAAUAUUGCACAAUGGGGGAAACCCUGAUGCAGCGACGCCGCGUGGAGGAAGAAGGUCUUCGGAUUGUAAACUCCUGUUGUUGGGGAAGAUAAUGACGGUACCCAACAAGGAAGUGACGGCUAACUACGUG
rnacentral:rRNA from 1 species